AUUGAACGCUGGCGGCGUGCCUAACACAUGCAAGUCGAGCGGUAACAGGUGUAGCAAUACAUGCUGACGAGCGGCGAACGGGUGAGUAAUGCUUCGGAAUCUACCCAAUGGUGGGGAAUAACCAGCCGAAAGGUUGGCUAAUACCGCAUACGUCCUACGGGAGAAAGCAGGGGAUCGUAAGACCUUGCGCCAAUGGAUGAGCCGAAGUCGGAUUAGCUAGUUGGUAGGGAACGGCCUACCAAGGCGACGAUCCGUAGCUGGUCUGAGAGGACGACCAGCCACACUGGGACUGAGACACGGCCCAGACUCCUACGGGAGGCAGCAGUGGGGAAUAUUGGACAAUGGGGGAAACCCUGAUCCAGCGACGCCGCGUGUGUGAAGAAGGCCUGCGGGUUGUAAAGCACUUUUAGUGGGGAUGAAAAGUUCAGGGCUAACACCUCUGGAUCUUGACCUAACCCACAGAAAAGCACCGGCUAACUCUGUGCCAGCAGCCGCCGUAAG
rnacentral:rRNA from 1 species